rnacentral:rRNA from 1 species
UAGCGGCAGGCCUAACACAUGCAAGUCGAGGGGUAACAGGAAAGCUUGCUUUCGYYGACGACCGGCGCACGGGUGCGUAACGCGUAUGCAACUUGCYYUCAACUGGGAAAUAGCCCGGAGAAAUUCGGAUUAAUGCCCCAUAGUAUCAUAUCACUGCAUGGUGAUGUGUUUAAAGCUUCGGCGGUUGAGGAUGGGCAUGCGUCCUAUUAGCUUGUUGGUGAGGUAACGGCUCACCAAGGCUGCGAUAGGUAGGGGGCCUGAGAGGGUAAUCCCCCACACUGGUACUGAGACACGGACCAGACUCCUACGGGAGGCAGCAGUGAGGAAUAUUGGUCAAUGGACGAAAGUCUGAACCAGCCAUGCCGCGUGCAGGAUGACGGCCCUAUGGGUUGUAAACUGCUUUUAUAAGGGAAUAAACCCCCCGACGUGUCGGGGGCUGAAGGUACCUUACGAAUAAGGAUCGGCUAACUCCGUGCCAGCAGCCGCGGUAAUACGGAGGAUCCAAGCGUUAUCCGGAUUCAUUGGGUUUAAAGGGUCCGCAGGCGGGUUAUUAAGUCAGUGGUGAAAUCCUGCAGCUUAACUGUAGAACUGCCAUUGAUACUGGUAAUCUUGAGUGUGGUUGAAGUGGGCGGAAUGUGUCAUGUAGCGGUGAAAUGCAUAGAUAUGACACAGAACACCGAUUGCGAAGGCAGCUCACUAAGCCAUUACUGACGCUCAGGGACGAAAGCGUGGGGAGCGAACAGGAUUAGAUACCCUGGUAGUCCACGCCGUAAACGAUGAUCACUCGCUGUUGGCGAUACACAGUCAGCGGCCAAGCGAAAGCAUUAAGUGAUCCACCUGGGGAGUACGCCGGCAACGGUGAAACUCAAAGGAAUUGACGGGGGCCCGCA